UACCCAUUAAGAAAUUAGUGUAAUUCCUUGAAUUGAAGGUAGAGGCUAUCAACUCAAAUAAAAUAGUGAAAGAAUCUUUAAACUAAAAUCCAUAUCUUUAGGCUUAAUUAAUUCAUAUACUAAUUAGGUUUUGAUUUUUUUUAUAGUUAUGGCCACCACCUUAUCGCUUCGAUCACUAUUAGAUAUUGAUAAAUUGAUGGGACCAAAUUUCGAUAGCUGAUAUCGAAAGCUUAAAAUUAUCCUGGAGCA
rnacentral:lncRNA from 1 species